AUUGAACGCUGGCGGCAGGCCUAACACAUGCAAGUCGAGCGAGCGGCGGACGGGUGAGUAAAGUCUGGGAACCUGCCUGAUGGAGGGGGAUAACUACUGGAAACGGUAGCUAAUACCGCAUCCCAUCAGAUGUGCCCAGAUGGGAUUAGCUAGGGGGUGGGGUAACGGCUCACCUAGGCGACGAUCCCUAGCUGGUCUGAGAGGAUGACCAGCCAAACUGGAACUGAGACACGGUCCAGACUCCUACGGGAGGAAGAAGUGGGAAAUAUUGCACAAUGGGCGCAAGCCUAAUGCAGACAUGCCGGGUGGGUGAAGAAGGCUUUCGGGUGGUAAAGCACUUUCAGCGGGGAGGCGUUACCCGCAGAAGAAGCACCGGCUAACUCCGUGCCAGCAGCCGCGGUAAUAC
rnacentral:rRNA from 1 species